UUUUGCUAAAAGGAGAAGCGAGAUCUCUUUAUCCAGAAAAAUCCAGAGUUCCCAAGUCUCCUUCCACUCCCCCUCCCCCUGAAACUUGGUGAUCAGUAGAUAAAAGCGGUAAGAUGAUGUUAUCACAGGCCAAAGUAAAGUGGGUGCCUUGUGCAUUUUCUUCUCAAAUGUCAUCUUUCCCAAGCCCCCCUCAGAUUCUCCAUCAUUCCGUAUCUCUGCCUUGAACCCCAAAAGAAAUCGUGGCGUUUUUGCGGAAGAAACCUCAGCUGAUGCUUCUGCCCCCUCAGCUCUCCUUCAGAAAGAGGAUGUACAUAAACUCGGGGUGGUGGUGAAGCCAAUGGAGAAACCUAGUAUAGUGUUGAAGUUUAUUUGGAUGGAGAAGAAUAUUGGAAUUGCGCUGGACCAGGUAAUUCCUGGUCAUGGUACAGUUCCUGUGAGCCCUUAUUAUUUCUGGCCUAGAAAAGAUGCUUGGGAGGAGCUUAAAGUCUUGCUGGAUAGUAAGCCCUGGAUAUCCCAGAAGCAGAUGAUCAUUCUCCUUAACCAGGCCACUGAUAUCAUCAAUUUGUGGCAACAGAGUGGUGGUGAUUUAGCGUAAGCUGUCAUCGAGCAAGAUUUAUCUUGCUGCCACUGAAUGUCAUAAUUCUGUUUGUUGUAACUUAUUUCACUUAAAAAGGUUAGUACCUAUUAAAAAAAUUCACUUAAAAUGUUAGUCAAUUCUUGUAGAUUUCCUCAAUUCUUUUCAUAUUAUGAAUUGCAAUUUAGACCUUGUAAUUGAUGAUGUUACAGAGUUUUUGUAAUCCCAAGAUGAUUUCUUUUUUCCUA